CGACCUCAGAUCAGGCA
rnacentral:rRNA from 3 species